UUAAGAGCGCCGAUGCUCAGAUUGAACAUUACCACGCAUCACUUGAAUUCCGUUUUAGGAAGCAUAAAGACCCUAUCUUUCAUAUCAGCGAGAAAUCAUUUUCAAGAAACAAAAGGUUAAAUUGAUAAACAUCUUUAUAGGGGUUCCCAGACGGUCAUAUGUCCAUGCUAAAGCGCUUGUUUACGGAAAAAAUACAGAAGACAGAGUGGACUAGCUACCUGAGUCUUCGAACACCGGUGAAAACGGAAAAUAGAUGCCACAAAAACGUUGUCACUGAAAAUGACAGCCGACUGCUACCGUGUUAAAACCGGUUCAAACAGUGUACAGACCAAGAGGCCUAGGACCAUGCCUCAGGACCACCUGGCCUGAUGACUCCUUGCUGUCCUCAGUUCACCUGCUUGUGCUGCUGCUCCAGUUUCAACUGUUCUGCCUGCGCCCAUGGAACCCUGACCUGUUCACCGGAUGUGCUACCUGUCCCAGACCUGCUGUUUUCAACUCUCUAGAGACAGCAAGAGUGGUAGAGAUACUCUGAAUGAUUGGCUAUGAAAAGCCAAAUUACAUUUACUCCUGAGGUGCUGACCUGUUGCACCCUCGACAACCACUGUGAUUAUUUUUUUUGACCCUGCUGGUCAUCUAUGAAUAUUUGAUCAUCUUGACCAUGUUCUGUUAUAAUCUCCACCCGGCACAGCCAGAAGAGGACUGGCCACCCCUCAUAGCCUGGUUCCUCUUUAGGUUCCUUCCGGCCUUUCUAGGGAGUUUUUCCUAGCCACCGUGCCACCGUGUCUACACCUGCAUUGCUUGCUGUUUGGGGUUUUAGGCUGGGUUUCUGUACAGCACAUUGUGAUAUCAGCUGAUGUAAGAAGGGCUUUAUAAAUACAUUUGAUUUGAUUUCUGCUGAUUGAGCGAGAAGUUGAACGCAGACUGAUUAUGAUUGUGCAUAGACCAAGACUGUUCAAAACCAUUCAGUGACCAAGAGAAUAACCAGUAAUCUGCUCUGACUCAGUCUGCAAAUGCUCUUUUUUUUCAAGUAUCAUUCAGACCAAACAGAUGCUCAACGUUCAUUUUCUUGAUCUCCAUCCAGCCAAUUUAACAUCCACUUGCUUUUGACUCACACUUACAGUUGCUUUUGACUCAGUUACUUGUCUUCAUUUUUUUUAUAAAAUCAUUUUUGCCUAGACUGUAUUGUAGCAAUUGGAUGAAUGCUUUAAACAAACAACACGUGAACGUUUGCUUGUAGGAGCAAUGACUGGUUACGUCAGGUUAUAUUCAUGAGGGUAAUCCCAAAGCCCCAGAGUCUGAGAGUAGUCAUAGCUAUAUUGCUUUUCAGAUGUUGUAACAUUGUACAAGUGGAACUUGCUGGCUAAGAACAGGGUUUUAACCUUUGGACCCAUUCCCCAUCAGAUAGAGGACCAAUAAUGAUUAUGUAACGCUGCCACAAUAUGAAGACCAUCAUGGUUAUUGGCAGUGAUCCAAUUGCAAAUUGAAGACAGUGACAGAUGAAAGGAAAGAGUGACAGAUAUUGUAAGUGAUACAGUGAGUAAGGAAAGAUAAAAGGUCAGGCUUUUUGGACAUAAUAGAAAAUGAAGACGUUGACAGCUCACAUGAGACGGAAGAGAAAUAGUGUCUGAUAGGAGAACAAUUAAAUGUAAUCUGUUUUAUGAUAAAUAUGAAUAAAUGGUGUAUAGCUUCUCUACUGUAUGUGCUUUAUUAGCAUAUAGACGUUGGAGAAAUAGCUCUGUCACUAUCGAGAUGUUCAGACUAAUAGCCUUGCCAAAAUAAUCUACCAUCAACUUUUUAAUGACAUUCAUAAGGCCUUCUGAUAUAUAUUUUGAGAACAGAAACAGACAAAUCAGUUUUGGAAUUUGACAAAGUGAGAUUUUAAUAGAUUGUCUUGCACAUUAAAACACUGAGAGUGUCAGUUCAUUCCUUUUUCUAUUUUCCAUGCAGAGCCACCAUUCCAGUCUGGGAUCUUUGCAUCUGUCUUUAUUGCAACUAAAAUGGGAACACGUUUGAAUGUAUUUUAGAAAAUAGGACACACCAAAAUAUCCCCAUGGGUUGUUUGUUAUUGAUUUAUGCCUAUGCUGCAGUCCUAGGUCUUAGUCAUAAGCCCAACUGAAUCCCAGUAAUAACAACAGGUGGAGCCUUCCAAAUGCAGAAAGAACAACUUCCUGGAGAUCUACAUAUUUUUUGGGGGGGGUAAUUUUGAGAGUUUUUUUUCUGGUCAGACUUGAAUGAAUUGAUCGAUUUAAAUCAGUUAUUUGUAUGAACAAAUAAUGAUUAGGUUAUUAAAGCAGUAUUUCAUUUUCAUGGGGAUUGUUUCAAAUGGAUACAUCUUAUCAUAUAGUGCAUUGAUUAAUUUUAUGAGCUCAGAACUGUUUGCUAAUGAAGGAUGUUAGAGCCGAUUUGGACAUAUUUGUAUAAAUGACUGAACAUACUGAAAUAUUAGGUACGUACCUUUAUGAUUUAAAUUUACCUGAUUGAGAUAUAUUAAUUUGUUAGUGUAAUUCAGUUUUUGGCCCCCUCUUGCCCAUUCAUUGUAUUGUGGUAAGUGUGUUAGGAUAAAGGCAGGAAAUUGGGCCUUCGGGGGAGGGAGUCCUUGCUAGAUGCGGGAACGGUAUAGUUUUUUGAACAUACAUACAGACAGGUCAUGUUAUGUAUUUUCCAUAUCAAGUAUUCUAUGCUUUAAGUUGAUUGGAGAAUCAUUUCUUUGUUAGAUAUAAGAAGAAUAAAAUUUUUGUUGCACCAUA